GGAUGGGUGGCCGAGUGGUUGAAGGCACUGGUCUUGAAAACCAGCGAGGGUUAACGCCCUCCGUGGGUUCGAAUCCCACCCCAUCCG
rnacentral:tRNA from 1 species